rfam:Ailuropoda melanoleuca scaffold2675_24, whole genome shotgun sequence.
GCCUGGCUGGCUCAGUCAGUAGAGCAUGUGACUCUUGAUCUCGGUGUUGUGAGUUCAAGCCCCAUGUUGGGUG